CCACAUUGACCCGGGGGCAUUUCAGUUUGUUUCCCCGCAGGGAGCCAGCUGAGUGAGUAUUGAACUCCCACCUGCCCCGGCAGUGUGAGCUGGCUGGAGCUCAUUAAACCAAAGGGCGGCAGCCCUUCAGAUUUGCCAGAACUGCUGAACAGCUGAGCGAGUUCCUUCUGAUCCACGGAGCAUGCUCACAGGGGUUUCCUUAUCUGAGCCUCAAGGAUGGCUGUUCAGAUAGUUGAAGAUAGCUUUCACCAUGUCUCUCCUUCUCCAGAGAAAAGUUAUUUUCCUUAGCAUCAAAUUCUACCCUUGUCCCGGAAACUCUUGCUGAGAUGAUAAUGGUGAUCCGAGGUUGCUUUGCUCUGUAGAAGCACUGGAUGCAUCUUCACUUUCUGGAACCUUGUGGCAGACUCCUGGAUCCCUCCAGUAACCUGCACUUGCCUCCUCCCCAAUGGUUCUGCUGAGAUAGGAGAUGUAAGCAAAGGCGGAGAAAACACCUCAUAUCUCUUGGCCUAUUUCCUGCUCCACCAACAAUAACAACAGCAAAACAUGUCUGAAUAUCAUGAAGAUUUCUGGGUUGUGUGGCUGCUGAUGUCAGAGAUGGGCACUACUUUGGAGUACAGAAAGGAUUUGAGUGCUAAGGUUAAAAAAAAGACAAAUUAAUUUAUCAAAUCCUUAUUGUCUGAUAGCAUAAAUGCAAUAGAUUCUUGCAUAACAAAUUGUUUCCCAGUAGUCCCUUUCCUUGCUUUCAAUUUGUGGUUCUGAAGGUAUUCACAAAUUAGCAUUGAAUUUACAACGGUUGUACUUGGUGGCUGAGGAACAUUUCACAAUGUUAAACAAU